UACGGGAGGCAGCAGUGGGGAAUAUUGGACAAUGGGCGAAAGCCUGAUCCAGCAAUGCCGCGUGAGUGAUGAAGGCCUUAGGGUUGUAAAGCUCUUUUACCAGGGAUGAUAAUGACAGUACCUGGAGAAUAAGCUCCGGCUAACUCCGUGCCAGCAGCCGCGGUAAUACGGAGGGAGCUAGCGUUGUUCGGAAAUACUGGGCGUAAAGCGAACGUAGGCGGUCUAUUAAGUCAGGGGUGAAAUCCCGGAGCUCAACUCCGGAACUGCCCUUGAAACUGCUAGACUAGAAUCCUGGAGAGGUCAGUGGAAUUCCGAGUGUAGAGGUGAAAUUCGUAGAUAUUCGGAAGAACACCAGUGGCGAAGGCGACUGACUGGACAGGUAUUGACGCUGAGGUUCGAAAGCGUGGGGAGCAAACAGGAUUAGAUACCCUGGUAGUCCACGCCGUAAACGAUGAUAACUAGCUGUCCGGGCUCAUAGAGCUUGGGUGGCGCAGCUAACGCAUUAAGUUAUCCGCCUGGGGAGUACGGUCGCAAGAUUAAAACUCAAAGGAAUUGACGGGGGCCUGCACAAGCGGUGGAGCAUGUGGUUUAAUUCGAAGCAACGCGCAGAACCUUACCAGCCUUUGACAUCCUUCGACGGUUUCUGGAGACAGAUUCCUUCCUUCGGGACGAAGUGACAGGUGCUGCAUGGCUGUCGUCAGCUCGUGUCGUGAGAUGUUGGGUUAAGUCCCGCAACGAGCGCAACCCUCAUCCUUAGUUGCCAUCAUUUAGUUGGGCACUUUAAGGAAACUGCCGGUGAUAAGCCGGAGGAAGGUGGGGAUGACGUCAAGUCCUCAUGGCCCUUACAGGCUGGGCUACACACGUGCUACAAUGGCAUCUACAGUGAGCAGCGAUCCCGCGAGGGUUAGCUAAUCUCCAAAAGAUGUCUCAGUUCGGAUUGUUCUCUGCAACUCGAGAGCAUGAAGGCGGAAUCGCUAGUAAUCGCGGAUCAGCAUGCCGCGGUGAAUACGUUCCCAGGCCUUGUACACACCGCCCGUCACGCCAUGGGAGUUGGUUUCACCCGAAGGUGGUGCGCUAACC
rnacentral:rRNA from 1 species